UACGGGGGGAGCAAGCGUUGUUCGGAUUUACUGGGCGUAAAGGGCGCGUAGGCGGCCACCGCAAGUCAAUUGUGAAAUCUCCGGGCUUAACUCGGAAAGGUCAACUGAUACUGCGGGGCUAGAGUGCGGAAGGGGCAACUGGAAUUCUCGGUGUAGCGGUGAAAUGCGCAGAUAUCAGGAGGAACACCGAUGGCGAAGGCAGGUCUCUGGGCCACUACUGACGCUGAGAAGCGAAAGCAUGGGGAGCGAACAGG
rnacentral:rRNA from 1 species